rnacentral:lncRNA from 1 species
AGGGAGACCCUGUCUCAAAAUAAAAAAUAAAAAGGGAUGGGGAUGCUGCUCAGUGGAAAAGCUGGGCUCAUUCCCCAGUAACACACACACAUACACACACACACACACGCACACACACACGCACCUCCUCUUCUUCUUCCUCUGCUUAGAAUAGACCUAUACAUUUAUUUCCCAGUGACUUCCUGGCCCCCAAGCAGAUCUGGACAGUCCUUGAAGAUGGAAAAGAGAAGCAGAGAGGGUGCAGUGGCUUCUGACUUGGCACAGGCAGCUGUGACCUGGUGAGCUUAGGCUGACAGGGAAAGUGAGACAACCAUGGCUAACAUCCAGAACACCUAUCUACUCUUUGGUGAGUUCCCUGACUCGAGUCUGCCAGCUGGAGGAGUGGACAGCUCAGAGACACAUCUGCCCACAUCCCAAAGCAGUGGGCACUCAAAACUGCCCUGUGCACAGGUUCGUGGCCCAGCACCUGGGGCAGUAGAUGCUCAUGAGGCCCUCGGGAGCACCAAGGAGCACACCUUGUCCUGUCCCAGCCCACCUGGUGAAGCAGCUCUCAGCCCUGUGAGGCUGGGUGGUGCGCUGUGUGGACCCAGCAUUGCUUGGGAGGGCAUUUUGGCAGCAGGCAGCUCUUUUUCCUCCUUUCUGCUCCUCCAGUCUCCCAUUCAUGACUCUCGCUGCUGUUCAGGGGAAGGCCUAGACAAAAGAGUGGGAAGAACAGCCAGGGCAUGGGCAAGAAGCCCUAAGGUCACAUGUGCAGGACCCAGGGUUUUGUCCACCAUCCAGAGGUGA